AAAAAUUGUUUCAUUGCGAACCAAAUGCAAGAAAUACGAAUUCAGCGUGAAUUAAGACUUUUAAAUCGUUGGCAUUUUGAUUUUAGAUAGUUGUAUGAAUGAAUGUCAAGGAGGAUUGUUCGGUAAGUUUGUUGGGAUAAAGAAAACGCCGAAAAUGGUUAUAAAUGUGGAGAAAUUAUUAUGGUGGACAGUUCUAGCAAUUGUUAUUAUAAUAACUAUUGGAACAAGAUAUCACAAAGUCACUGAACCGGAUCACGUAUGUUGGGACGAGACCCAUUUUGGUAAAAUGGCCAGCUGGUAUAUUAAUCGGACAUUUUUUUUUGACGUUCACCCACCGCUGG
rnacentral:sRNA from 1 species